rnacentral:rRNA from 1 species
UACGUAGGGUGCAAGCAUUGUCCGGAUUUAUUGGGCGUAAAGAGCUCGUAGGCGGCUUGUCACGUCGGGUGUGAAAACUCGGGGCUCAACCCCGAGCCUGCACUCGAUACGGGCUAGCUAGAGUGUUGCAGGGGAGACUGGAAUUCCUGGUGUAGCGGUGAAAUGCGCAGAUAUCAGGAGGAACACCGGUGGCGAAGGCGGUUCUCUGGGACGGUACUGACGCUGAGACGCGAAAGCGUGGGGAGCGAACAGG